rnacentral:lncRNA from 1 species
GAAAAGUGAACAGAUUAAAACAAAGCCUCAGUUCAGAACUGAUAUUGAUAUUUAUUCAGUUCUGAAGAGCUUUAUACAGACUCAAAGACAUCACAGAAAUAAACACAAUAAACAAUAAUGUAUAAAGGGCCAUUUAAAGAUAUAUAGAGAGAUAAAUAGAGAUAUACAGAGAAAUGUGGCUGCAGUUCUUUGUUAGUGCUGUGCUUGUUGCUAUGGGGAUUCAGGCAGCUGAUCGGUUACCAGGCAGAAACAGAGGCAGAAUGAAGACAGGAAGCAGAUCUGCUGCAGGAGGGCGGCGGCUGCACCAGACUACACUUUCUCUUGGAGACCAAAACCAAACUACCUUCACCACAGAACAGAAACAAUCCAGUGUCUUGCGCAGUCUGAGGAGCAGGAACUGGACUCGGAACAGAGAAGGCCUAGCUGUGAAGGAAAUCACUAACCCUCCAGAAUCCACAGUUUACAUCAGCUCCUACCACACGCAGUACUGCGGCCCUGCCAACUGCCCUGCCAGCAGCCUUCAGACCGGCGCUUCAGGCCAGCCCACACGCUGGCACCAACACAACAUCCUCACAGGAGAGGACAGAGGCCCAGCUAGACCUGAAACUGCGAGGAGACUGUCUGGAGACAGAUUACUGUGGGCCACUCGCCGCCUGGAGACUGACUGCCCUUCUCUUCAUCUGUACUGA